GGGUUUAAUAAGGGUUUGUAGAAAGACCUUUUGUCCAACAAAUAUAGUACAACUUGGAAAAUUGGGGAAAUAUCUACAACUCUAAUCCAUAAGCAAGUGAGAACGAGAAAUUUAACAGCAACGUGGAGUCAAAAACCCAAACUGCUGCUGGGACACGAUGCUUGAAGAAGAGCAAGACCCAUCAGUUCUUUUUCUUGAGUAAAAGUACUAUGUUUAGCAUCAAAGAAUUUCAACAAGAAACUACAAGAGCUAGGAACAUUUCUCAUGAAUUGAGCAUUUGGAUCGAUAAAAAGUCGUACAAAUUGCUUGAGGUGUUUGGUAUUGCGACACGAGUACGAGACAAUAGUUGACGCGAGUAAGGAUUUCACUAAUUAGAGUAUACGAGUUAAUAGUUCCUGAGACAACAGUUGACGCGAGUAAGGAUUUCACUAAUUAGAGUAUACGAGUUAAUAGUUCCUGGUGAGCCCCGCACUUGUUCGCAUGGGCGAAGAGUUUAUUUAUUUGUUAUCGUCUUUUCUUUUGAACUCUUAAAGUCGCUCCAUAGUCAUUUUUAUUAGUCUUAUGGGAUAUUCAUUCGAUAUAUUGGGUUAGUUAUUAGUAUUGCAUUGUUUUAGCUUGAGUUUAGUAUUAUUAUGUUGAUAAGGUUUGUAAUGUUGGUGAAAACUCUUUUUGGCUAGUUGAUUAAGAUUAUGACUGAUUUAGGUGAA